CCCACUUCCAGGAGAGGUUUGGAGGGGCGGACUUGGAACCAGGCAGGAAACUGCAGCUGCGGCUGCUCCACGGUGCUCCUCAUUGAAUGAAGGCCCCUCUUCCUUCUGGUCUGCCUCCCCGGCUGGGUGGCCAGGGUCAGAGAAGGGAAGGUGGUGAGGCACUGGAAGCCCCCCACCCGCACCCCGGCUGAGAGGACAAUGAGGAAAUGCUGGACUGGACUCUGGGGCGACCCUCACAGAAGGCUGAGGCAGCAGCCACGCUAAGGACCAGAACUGCAGGAGCUUGACCUCUGGCCCCGGGGCCCAUCUGAGUGGUGGGCAGACCCAGAGCGGGGUGAAGGGGCAGAGCCAUGCCAAGAGAGGCUGUCGUUGGUAAGGGCUUUGAGUCCCUGUAUAUUGAUUCUGCCAGCCCAAGGGACUCUCAGAGGGUUGGCACCUAGCCCCUCCCGGGGCCCCUGAGCUCAGGACUGAGGCUGCUGCCAGACUGAAGGGGGGGAUGGGAACACGCCCCAAAGGACAAGGACAAAGGCCACAGAGGGGCGUGAGCUUCAGAGGCACAGCGCACGCACGUGCUCCUCGCCCAGGCCUGGGAACUGGCAGGGACCCGGGAUGGUGACCCAGAAACCUGGCCGUCAGCUGCUCCUGCCAGCACUGCCCGCAAGAACUGCAGCGGAUGGCCACUGUCAGCAGGGCAAACUCUGGGCUCGCCGUUCAGCAGCCUGUGCCUGGGGACCCCAUCCCAGAUGCUUCAGGCCUGGAGGGGAUUCCCAGCGCAGGGCAACUAACUGCUGCAGCCAGGUCUCGGCAAGUCGCUCACCUACGCUGCUGUGGCGAGGUUCCUACAAAGGAGGCUGCAAAGAGGCUGCCCGAGAGUCAAGGGGGACUAGGUGUGGAGUCACCUGAGACCUUGUGCGCAAAGGCCUGGAAAGCACUGGGGAGACUGGGACCAAGAUGGUGGGAAGGCGGGGCGGGGCGCUGCACCACCAUCUCCAAACCACAUUCCAGGCCAACAGCCUGCCCGCUCCAGCCCCCACCUCCAUCUCCUGCUCCACCUCCCCUCCCCAACCCCUCCCCGCCAGCUACCCAUUUCCUCUGCUCCUCCUCCAGCCCUCAGGCUGCCUUUCAUUCAACCAUCCAUUCACCAAACUUUCACUCAGUCAUGGUUGCUGUGGGCCUGGUGUCCAGCGGCUGAGGUGGAAGGAGGUAGAGAAAGAGGAAGAGGAAGAAGAGAAAGAGAGGAUGAAGGAGGAGAAGAGGAGGAGGAACAAAGCCUAAAAGCUCUGACAAGCGUCCUGGAGCGUGCUCAUGCCCAGACCCAAAAGAUCUGCUGGCUUCCACCCUGCUCAGUUCCUAACACUUCCCUCUGCUUAGACUAGCACUCAGGCCCGAGAUAACGUUACGCUUCUGAGACCCUGUGGUCAGAAGCCCUCCUGGCCAUCCCCACACAGAGACCAGGAGUACUCUCUCAGCCCCAAGAGAGGUCAAGUGAAGAGUCAAGGUGGCCUGGGGUCCCUCAUCUAGGAGCACAUCUGCUCUGAAUUCAGUAGGCGGCUGCCUCAUCCAGAGGCCGGGAAAGGGCUUUUCCCCACAGCUCCGGAAGGCGGCAGUUCCGGGGAUCAGGCUUGCAGCAGCCACUGCUGCAUCUGCUUCCCAGGAUAAUCCCACCUCUCCCUGCCCCACAUCUGGUGGGUGGGCUUUUUCAGUUCCGAGACAAGGUUUCCCUGUGUAGUCCUGGCUUUGGAACAAGCACUCAGAGAUCCGCCUGCCUCUGCAUACCAAGUGCU